UACGUAGGGACCAAGCGUUUGUUCGGAUUCAUUGGGCGUAAAGGGUGCGUAGGCGGCGCGGUAAGUCGGGUGUGAAAUCUCGGAGCUUAACUCCGAAACUGCAUUCGAUACUGCCGUGCUUGAGGACUGGAGAGGAGACUGGAAUUUACGGUGUAGCGGUGAAAUGCGUAGAUAUCGUAAGGAAGACCAGUGGCGAAGGCGGGUCUCUGGACAGUUCCUGACGCUGAGGCACGAAGGUCAGGGGAGCAAACGGG
rnacentral:rRNA from 1 species